rnacentral:rRNA from 1 species
GAUGAACGCUGGCGGCGUGCCUAAUACAUGCAAGUCGAGCGAACAGACGAUGAUCUUGCUCCUCUUACGUUAUCGUCUGACGUGUGAGUAACACGUGUAUAACCUACCUUUAAUACUUGGAUAACUUCGGGAAACCUGUUCUAAUACCGGAUAAUAUCUUUAACCGCAUGGUUCAAUAUUUAAAUUCGGUUUUUCUGUCUCUUCUAGAUUGUUCCGCGCCGCAUUAGCUAGUUGGUAAGGUAACGGCUUACCAAGGCAACGAUGCUUAGCGGACAUGAGAGGGAGAGCGGCCAAACGGGAACUGAGACACGGACCAGACUACUACGGGAGGCAGCAGUAGGGAAUAGGCCGAAAUGGGCGAAAGCAUGACGGAGCAAAGCCGAGUGAGAGAUGAAGGUCUUCGGAUCGUAAAACUCUGUUAUUAGGGAAGAAAAAAUGUGUAAGUAAAAAUGCACGUAUUGACGGUAACUAAUCAGAAAGCCACGGCUAACUACGUG